GACGAACGCUGGCGGCGUGCCUAAUACAUGCAAGUUGAGCGCUGAAGGUUGGUACUUGUACCAACUGGAUGAGCAGCGAACGGGUGAGUAACGCGUGGGGAAUCUGCCUUUGAGCGGGGGACAACAUUUGGAAACGAAUGCUAAUACCGCAUAAAAACUUUAAACACAAGUUUUAAGUUUGAAAGAUGCAAUUGCACCACUCAAAGAUGAUCCCGCGUUGUAUUAGCUAGUUGGUGAGGUAAAGGCUCACCAAGGCGAUGAUACAUAGCCGACCUGAGAGGGUGAUCGGCCACAUUGGGACUGAGACACGGCCCAAACUCCUACGGGAGGCAGCAGUAGGGAAUCUUCGGCAAUGGACGAAAGUCUGACCGAGCAACGCCGCGUGAGUGAAGAAGGUUUUCGGAUCGUAAAACUCUGUUGGUAGAGAAGAACGUUGGUGAGAGUGGAAAGCUCAUCAAGUGACGGUAACUACCCAGAAAGGGACGGCCAACUACGUG
rnacentral:rRNA from 1 species